rnacentral:lncRNA from 1 species
CAUUUUGCAAAGAACAUUCAAGAGUCUGAAAAAAUUCCAUGAGCAAAGACAAUGUUGUCUCAAGUGACACUUCUGAUUAGUUCAAGUAAGAAUCGAAUGGCUUGAUAGCUCACAGGAGACAGGAACUCCUUGACUGUUUACACCACUAUAGAAGAGAGGAAUAAGAAUGACCCUAAACAGCUCUAUAUUAAAUUAGGGGGGAAAGACAUGAAUAGCAGUAGAGUGUCACCAUAUCUUAAUGUUUUCAUGAAUUUUUCAAGGGCAAUAUAAAAGCAUUUAAUCUGAAACACACAUGUAAGUUAUCCCUUUAUUGCCAUUGUGUUUGAAAGAUAUUAGAAUCCCCAAACAGGUGCAGCAUUAGAACAUCCUCACAUUGAUUUAUUCAUGUGAGUACCUUUCAAUUGUCUUCUCCCUGAUCAGUGUUUGUUAAUCAUUUGCUUAGACUUAAGGUUAAUAUUUUUUUGAAAAUGGAGAAUUUUAUGCAAGUGGAUCUUACAGAAAGUCCAAAUUCCUUUUGCCUGCACAAUCCUGAAAAUAUACAGAUACAUAUUUUUUAAAGUUAAAUACCAUGAAAUGAUCAAAUUUGGUUCUGAAAAAAGAAAAGAUGAGAAAUGUAGCACUUUCCUUUCUUUUCAAAAGUGGGGGAUUAUGCGUAUGGAAAAUGGCACACUAUCAAAUUUUGUUGACAGUUUUUUCCUCUCUUUUUCUAGAUCUUGAUUAUAAGGGAUAUCUUCAAAGAGAAAAGAGAAUGAAGGACAUAUUUGAAAAGUGACAUACCACCCGUUAUGCUCAGUUUUUUGCUGAAUUUAGACACACCAAGCUCAAAAGGUUGCCCAUCACUGUCUUAGAUAGUCUUCCAGGGAGCUUUGCUGGAGACUACAGCUUGGAUUAUGGUCUCUUAACUCAGCUACUACUUGGACUCUGACUCUUGGAUUACUUUGUUAGGUGAGUAAAAGGCUGCCCUCUUUCCUAGCUUCUGGAGAGAGUAGCUUCCAUCUUGGAGGAGGCAGGUGGUUACUCACUACCAACCUUCCUUGUUGAGAGCUAAUUAAUCUCUGCCUGGAUUAAGAAGACCUGGAGCAAAACAUUUAGGUUGUUAGGACAGAUAACUUCUCUACCCCCCUCAUAUUUCUCUUCUUUAUUGUUUCCUAUCUAUUUAUAAAUAUUUGUAAAUAAAUUUCUGACUCAAAAUAUAAAUAUUGGUGAU